rnacentral:tRNA from 1 species
AAGCCUAUAGCUCAGUUGGUUAGAGCGUACGCCUGAUAAGCGUAAGGUGAGUAGUUCGAAUCUACUUAGGCUUA